GGAGUUUGGUCCGUGUCUCAGUACCAAUGUGGGGGACCUUCCUCUCAGAACCCCUACUGAUCGUCGCCUUGGUGGGCCGUUACCCCGCCAACAAGCUAAUCAGACGCAUCCCCAUCCCUUAGCGAUAAAUCUUUGGUAUUCGUCAGAUGUCCUCAAAAUACAACAUAGAGUAUUAAUCCGACUUUCGCCGGGCUAUUCUCUACUAUGGGGAAGGUUGGAUACGCGUUACUCACCCCGUGCGCCGGUCGCCAUCAUCGGUUGCAAGCAACCGACAUGCUGCCCCUCCGACUUGCAUGUGUUAAGCCUGUAGCUAGCGUUCAUCCUGAGCCAGGAUCAAACUACU
rnacentral:rRNA from 1 species